UUUUUCCCCCUGGGAAAAGCCACUCCCCUCUUGGUACAAGUCAGUUGCGUCAGAAGCAAGCUACGGCACCCACGGCAGCCUCAGAUUCUCCCCACCGCACCCCCACCUCUGUCAGGGCCGGCUCAGGGGCUGCUGCUGAAUUCCCAUGCGAGGCUCACUCGGCGGUCAGGAAGAGGAAAGCUGCUCUGGGAAUAGCAAACUCCAGAGAGCCAGGAUUACAGGCACGUGGGGGAGGCAGCGGAGGUGGCUGUUUCACACUCUGUCACAAUGGAGGUAGCAGUUUCCUUUUGAGGGACUGGAAAUGUGACCUACUUCCUUGUAACAAGGAUGCUGCGUCAGCACUUGGAUGGAAAACACAGGUGAAGGAUGUGCUCCUCCCCAGACAGAACAAGAAAGAAAAAGAGACCUAUUACUGUUUUGGAUGCAGACAACAAUCACACAUGACAACUCAAGAGGAGUGAGGCAUGGAGCUAGUGAAGGCUGAGCAUGCUGUUCCGACUCUACGUCAGCAGCCUGAAGCCUCCGGGGCACAGCCCGUGUGUGCCUGCAACCCCGCUGGAUGCUGCCAGCUUCCACCAAGGUCCUACUGAUCCCUACCGUUCCGCACCCAAGCCUGCCAUCCUGGUUUGGCCUUAUCACAAUUUUCACAGCACACCUGUCUUGCUCAGCAUUUUGAAUUCCACCAAAGACCUGACGGAACAUCAAAUAGCAAAUGAAUAGCAUCAUAAGAAGUCAAGAGAAAGACCAUGGAAGAAAGAAGAAACUUUAACAGCGCUUUUUUCAUGAUCUUUGAACAAGGAGGUCUAAAUUGUCAUUUUGCACUGGCCCUGUCCCAGCUCAUGUUUGUUGAGUGAAAUAAUAAAGAAAUAAAUGCAUACAUGUAUAUUUAUUAGAACGCGGAACACACUCAUUAUCUUCCAUUUCCUAACAACGCUGUGUGUGAUCAGGAUUGCAGGCAUGUUAUGAAAUACUAGAAGAGCUGAAUAUUAAAAUUACUCUGGAAU